GAUGAACGCUGGCGGCGUGCCUAAUACAUGCAAGUCGAGCGAAUGGAUUAAGAGCUUGCUCUUAUGAAGUUAGCGGCGGACGGGUGAGUAACACAUGGGUAACCUGCCCAUAAGACUGGGAUAACUCCGGGAAACCGGGGCUAAUACCGGAUAACAUUUUGAACCGCAUGGUUAGAAAUUGAAAGGAGGCUUCAGCUGUCACUUAUGGAUGGACCCGCGUCGCAUUAGCUAGUUGGUGAGGUAACGGCUCACCAAGGCAACGAUGCGUAGCCGACCUGAGAGGGUGAUCGGCCACACUGGGACUGAGACACGGCCCAGACUCCUACGGGAGGCAGCAGUAGGGAAUCUUCCGCAAUGGACGAAAGUCUGACGGAGCAACGCCGCGUGAGUGAUGAAGGCUUUCGGGUCGUAAAACUCUGUUGUUAGGGAAGAACAAGUGCUAGUUGAAUAAGCUGGCACCUUGACGGUACCUAACCAGAAAGCCACGGCUAACUACGUGCCAGCCGCCGCAGUAA
rnacentral:rRNA from 1 species